rnacentral:misc_RNA from 1 species
AAGUCGUAACAAGGUUUCCGUAGGUGAACCUGCGGAAGGAUCAUUAGUGAAUAAACAAGUGCAGGUUGUGCUGGCCUUCUUGGUAUGUGCACGCCUGCCAAUGUUUCAUUCUAUCUUCCCACCUGUGCACUAUGUGUAGAUCUGUAUGCUAUUGUCAAGUCUUUUACUAAGCUUGGUUGAGAGGAGUUGCUUGUUCCAUUGGACAAGCUCUUCUUGGGUAUGCAGGUCUAUGUUUUAUAUCAACACCAUAUGAAUGUAAUAGAAUGUGCUUUGGGCUUUUUAGCCUUUAAAACAUAUACAACUUUCAACAACGGAUCUCUUGGCUCUC